rnacentral:rRNA from 1 species
AUUGAACGUUGGCGGCAGGCCUAACACAUGCAAGUCGAGCGGUAGCACAGAGAGCUUGCUCUCGGGUGACGAGCGGCGGACGGGUGAGUAAUGUCUGGGAAACUGCCUGAUGGAGGGGGAUAACUACUGGAAACGGUAGCUAAUACCGCAUAAUGUCGCAAGACCAAAGUGGGGGACCUUCGGGCCUCAUGCCAUCAGAUGUGCCCAGAUGGGAUUAGCUAGUAGGUGGGGUAACGGCUCACCUAGGCGACGAUCCCUAGCUGGUCUGAGGGGAUGACCAGCCACACUGGAACUGAGACACGGUCCAGACUCCUACGUGAGGCAGCAGUGGGGAAUAUUGCACAAUGGGCGCAAGCCUGAUGCAGCCAUGCCGCGUGUGUGAAGAAGGCCUUCGGGUUGUAAAGCACUUUCAGCGGGGAGGAAGGCGGUGAGGUUAAUAACCUCAUCGAUUGACGUUACCCGCAGAAGAAGCACCGGCUAACUCCGUGCCAGCAGCCGCGGUAAUACGGAGGGUGCAAGCGUUAAUCGGAAUUACUGGGCGUAAAGCGCACGCAGGCGGUCUGUCAAGUCGGAUGUGAAAUCCCCGGGCUCAACCUGGGAACUGCAUUCGAAACUGGCAGGCUAGAGUCUUGUAGAGGGGGGUAGAAUUCCAGGUGUAGCGGUGAAAUGCGUAGAGAUCUGGAGGAAUACCGGUGGCGAAGGCGGCCCCCUGGACAAAGACUGACGCUCAGGUGCGAAAGCGUGGGGAGCAAACAGGAUUAGAUACCCUGGUAGUCCACGCCGUAAACGAUGUCGAUUUGGAGGUUGUGCCCUUGAGGCGUGGCUUCCGGAGCUAACGCGUUAAAUCGACCGCCUGGGGAGUACGGCCGCAAGGUUAAAACUCAAAUGAAUUGACGGGGGCCCGCACAAGCGGUGGAGCAUGUGGUUUAAUUCGAUGCAACGCGAAGAACCUUACCUGGUCUUGACAUCCACAGAACUUUCCAGAGAUGGAUUGGUGCCUUCGGGAACUGUGAGACAGGUGCUGCAUGGCUGUCGUCAGCUCGUGUUGUGAAAUGUUGGGUUAAGUCCCGCAACGAGCGCAACCCUUAUCCUUUGUUGCCAGCGGUUAGGCCGGGAACUCAAAGGAGACUGCCAGUGAUAAACUGGAGGAAGGUGGGGAUGACGUCAAGUCAUCAUGGCCCUUACGACCAGGGCUACACACGUGCUACAAUGGCAUAUACAAAGAGAAGCGACCUCGCGAGAGCAAGCGGACCUCAUAAAGUAUGUCGUAGCCCGGAUUGGAGUCUGCAACUCGACUCCAUGAAGUCGGAAUCGCUAGUAAUCGUAGAUCAGAAUGCUACGGUGAAUACGUUCCCGGGCCU